UCCCACCUAACUUGUGGAACUUUCUAUGUCUAUUGCAAAAGAACCAGAAGCUGCUGAAGAAAAAAAAUCGAAGAAGGGCUCCGUAAACAGAGAUGUUGUGCUUGCUCGAGUAGCUACGAAGAAGAGAUUGUCAUUGAUCAGAGCAUGAGAAGAAAGUGAGAAAUCAAAAGCUGAGAACAAGGCGCAGAAGAAGAUUUCUUCUGUCGCAGCUUGGAAGAAUAGCAAGAAAGUGACUCUAGACGCUGAGCUGAAGAAGAUAGAGG